GUGCCAGCAGCCGCGGUAAUACGGAGGAUGCGAGCGUUAUCCGGAUUUAUUGGGUUUAAAGGGUGCGCAGGCGGAUAGUUAAGUCAGCGGUGAAAUGUCCCGGCUCAACCGGGGAGCUGCCGUUGAUACUGGCUGUCUGGAGUACGGACGGCGCCGGCGGAAUGUGUCAUGUAGCGGUGAAAUGCUUAGAUAUGCCACAGAACACCGAUCGCGAAGGCAGCUGGCGAGGCCGGUACUGACGCUCAGGCACGAAAGCGUGGGGAUCAAACAGGAUUAGAUACCCUGGUAGUCCACGCAGUAAACGAUGAGGACUUGUUGUCGGCGAUAGAGUGUCGGUGACAAAGCGAAAGCGAUAAGUCCUCCACCUGGGGAGUACGAUCGCAAGGUUGAAACUCAAAGGAAUUGACGGGGGCCCGCACAAGCGGAGGAGCAUGUGGUUUAAUUCGAUGAUACGCGAGGAACCUUACCUGGACUCAAAUGUUGGAUGACCGGUUCAGAAAUGGGCCCUUCCUUCGGGACAUCCAGCAAGGUGCUGCAUGGUUGUCGUCAGCUCGUGCCGUGAGGUGUCAGGUUAAGUCCUAUAACGAGCGCAACCCCUACGCCCAGUUGCCAGCGGGUAGAGCCGGGGACUCUGGGGGAACUGCCUACGCAAGUAGAGAGGAAGGUGGGGAUGACGUCAAAUCAGCACGGCCCUUACGUCCAGGGCGACACACGUGCUACAAUGGCCGGUACAGAGGGCAGCCACCCUGCGAGGGGGAGCGAAUCUCGAAAGCCGGUCUCAGUUCGGAUCGGAGUCUGCAACUCGACUCCGUGAAGUUGGAUUCGCUAGUAAUCGCGCAUCAGCCAUGGCGCGGUGAAUACGUUCCCGGGCCUUGUACACACCGCCCGU
rnacentral:rRNA from 1 species